GACGUAGGGGGCGAGCGUUGUCCGGAUUUAUUGGGCGUAAAGCGUGCGUAGGCGGAUUGUUAAGUCGGGGGUGAAAUCCUGGAGCUCAACUCCAGAAUUGCCCUUCGAUACUGGCUUUCUAGAGGCUGGAAGAGGUUAGUGGAAUUCCCAGUGUAGAGGUGAAAUUCGUAGAUAUGGGGGAGGAAGCACCCGGAUCGGGG
rnacentral:rRNA from 1 species